UACGUAGGGUGCAAGCGUUGUCCGGAAUUAUUGGGCGUAAAGAGCUCGUAGGCGGUUUGUCGCGUCUGCUGUGAAAACUGGAGGCUCAACCUCCAGCCUGCAGUGGGUACGGGCAGACUAGAGUGCGGUAGGGGAGAUUGGAAUUCCUGGUGUAGCGGUGGAAUGCGCAGAUAUCAGGAGGAACACCGAUGGCGAAGGCAGAUCUCUGGGCCGUAACUGACGCUGAGGAGCGAAAGCAUGGGGAGCGAACAGGG
rnacentral:rRNA from 1 species